rnacentral:rRNA from 1 species
UACAGAGGGGGCAAGCGUUGUUCGGAAUUACUGGGCGUAAAGGGCGCGUAGGCGGCCCGCUAAGUCGAACGUGAAAUCCCUGGGCUCAACCCAGGAACUGCGUCCGAUACUGGCAGGCUUGAAUCCGGGAGAGGGAUGUGGAAUUCCAGGUGUAGCGGUGAAAUGCGUAGAUAUCUGGAGGAACACCGGUGGCGAAGGCGGCAUUCUGGACCGAUAUUGACGCUGAGGAGCGAAAGCCAGGGGAGCAAACGGG